UCCCCAUACCCAGACUUUGACACGAGUAAACCUAUACCGCCAUUGUUGUUGUUGUUUACAUUUACCAGGGUGACACGCGAGUGUACAUCUUUGAGAUAGUGCCAGAAGCUCCCUAUUUCCUGGAAUGUGCCAGCUUCAACUCCUCAGAGCCCCACAAGGGCUUGGCCUUCCUGCCGAAGACUGAGUGUGUGGUGCAAGAGGUCGAGGUGGCCAGGGCUCGGGUCUGAGGCUCAGUAAGACCUCCAUAGAGCCAGUGGCCUUCAGAGUCCCCCGCGUCAGAAAAGAGUUCUUCCAGGAUGAUGUGUACCCAGACACAGCAGUGUGGUGGGAGUCUUCUCUGACAGCCUCAGCCUGGCUGGCUGGUUCUGAUGGGAAGCACCAGUCCGUCAGCCUCAAGCCCAAAGACAUGACCCCAGGUAGGGGCUAACCUCAGCUCUGCUCCGCCCAGGCACAUAUAGUACAAACAGUGGACUGAAGUCAACAGCAUUACUGUUAGAUCCACCAUUUGAAUGUCAGAUGAGAAGCCGAGCAGAUACAGUUUAUAAGGGGCAACCUAUCCACUCUUUCAUGGGCCAAGUCCUGGGUUUGACAAGAUUAUCUGCCUUGUGCUUUGACAUGAUGGUGACACUAGCUAAAUCUAUUCUGACAGCCAAUCGUCAAUCAACUCAAUGUGAGGCAGAGAUCUUCUAUAACGUAGAAUUGCCGAUACAGGCUUUGAGCAAAGUCUUGUGGAUCGGUGUACCUGGAAUGACACAUGUACAGUGGCAAGAAAACGUAUGUGAACCCUUUGGAAUUACCUGCAUUUCUGCAUACAUUGGUCAUCAAAUGGGAUCUGAUCUUCAUCUAA